AGUGGGUGGAGCACUAUCUGUACUUAGUUACCUGUUGAAUUCAAUCUCAUGCUUCUUUCAAAGUCCACAAAUUGCUGAUGUUGGGUUAACUACUCCAGGAGUUCAAGGGAACAUACUGUGUAUAGCUCUCCUCCCUAUUGCCCACAAUAACUCUCUGGGGUAAAUAUAAUUAUGAAAGUGGAUGACCAUGGCUGAAGAUGGAUGUGAACCUGAGAGAUCACUCAAAAGUAUCAGGGCUAAUUACAGAUCGACUUGAGCAAAAUUAGAAAUAUUAAAGGAAAAAUAAAACAAGCAAGCAAGACGUUGCUGAGAUGUGAGCUCUAUGUGAGAUGGAAA